rnacentral:sRNA from 1 species
CUGUGUCCAGCGCCGGGUCCCGCCCGUCCCCGCUGCGCGCGCCCCCCAGUCCCGCACCCGUUCGGCCCAGGCUAAGGUAGCCCUCACCAUGCCGGUCAAAGGAGGCACCAAGUGCAUCAAAUACCUGCUGUUCGGAUUUAACUUCAUCUUCUGGGUUGGGGUCAGCGGGACUUUAUUUGGAUCUACCACAGGCCUUUUCAACCAAAGCCUUGCAGAAACAGGCUUUACCCCGUACACACAGAAGAGCGACGACUUCGUUAAGAGUCUGAAAAUCUGGCUUGCCGGGAUUGCUGUCCUUGCCAUUGGACUAUGGCUCCGAUUCGACUCUCAGACCAAGAGCAUCUUCGAGCAAGAAACUAAUAAUAAUAAUUCCAGCUUCUACACAGGAGUCUAUAUUCUGAUCGGAGCCGGCGCCCUCAUGAUGCUGGUGGGCUUCCUGGGCUGCUGUGGAGCUGUGCAGGAGUCCCAGUGCAUGCUGGGACUGUUCUUCGGCUUCCUCUUGGUGAUAUUCGCCAUUGAAAUAGCUGCGGCCAUCUGGGGAUAUUCCCACAAGGAUGAGGU